rnacentral:rRNA from 1 species
UACAGAGGUCCCAAGCGUUGUUCGGAUUCAUUGGGCGUAAAGGGUGCGUAGGCGGCGCGGUAAGUCGGGUGUGAAAUCUCGGAGCUUAACUCCGAAACUGCAUUCGAUACUGCCGUGCUUGAGUACUGGAGAGGAGACUGGAAUUUACGGUGUAGCGGUGAAAUGCGUAGAUAUCCGGAGGAAGACCAGUGGCGAAGGCGGGUCUCUGGACAGUUACUGACGCUGAGGCGCGAAGGCGAGGGGAGCAAACGGG